GAUGAAGAACGUAGCGAAAUGCGAUACGUAAUGUGAAUUGCAGAAUUCAGUGAAUCAUCGAAUCUUUGAACGCACAUUGCGCCCGCUGGUAUUCCGGCGGGCAUGCCUGUUCGAGCGUCAUUUCAACCCUCAAGCUCUCCGGAGUUUGGUGUUGGGGCGCCUGGGGCUUUUCGACCUCAGGGCCCUCAAGUCCAUCGGCGGGACCGCCAGGACACUGAGCGCAGUAGUAUUAUUUCGCUCGGUAGGAUCUUCCACGGCGGGUCGAUCUGGCCGCUAAACCCCCCAAUUCUCACCAAAGGUUGACCUCGGAUCAGGUAGGAAUACCCGCUGAACUUAAGCAUAUCAAUAAGCGGAGGA
rnacentral:misc_RNA from 1 species